CCCGGGCCUUGUACACACCGCCCGUCACGCCACCUGAGUUGUCUGCACCCGAAGUCGAUGGCCUAACCCAUCUAGAAGUUGGAGGUUAGAGGUUGGAAGUUAGAGAGCACAUUGUGCUUUGGCUUUUGAUUUUUCACAGCCGAUUUCUAGAUGGGAAGGAGUCGCCGAAGGUGUGGGGAGCGAGGGGGACGAAGUCGUAACAAGGUAGCCGUAUCGGAAGGUGCGGCUGGAUCACCUCCUUUCUAAGGA
rnacentral:rRNA from 1 species